CACUAAAAUAUUUUUAGAGUAAUAUGAUAUUGUACUCAGCCUCACUCCUGUCUCUGCAUUGCCUGCCUGUUGCCUUUUACUUUCAAAGCUGGUGGUACAGGUAAACACUUCAAAGAUUGAGGAAGAGGAUGCACUUGAGCUCCCCUCAAAGCACUUUAGAGAGGAAGUACAACUGACCCAUCAGUGAAAUUCUCUAUACAGCAAAUGCUGGUGGGAGCCGUAACACUUAGUGUAAGGACUCUGUUGUAGGCUGGAGGAAGAGGAAGACUGCAAUAAACAGGACUACUGGUGCCUGAAAGGAGCUACAAUUUGACUGUAUGUGUCAAAUAAAAGGUAUGCUCAAUGCUGGCAUAUAUGCCUUUGGCCCUUAGUUUCCUGCAAGUUACACAGUGUGCCUUUCACAAACAGUUAAUCUCUUGCACUAAUGCUGCUGGGAGGAU